GACGAACGCUGGCGGCGUGCUUAACACAUGCAAGUCGAACAGUUGCGAACGGGUGAGUAACACGUGAGUAACCUGCCCUCCACUUUGGGAUAACUCCGAGAAAUCGGGGCUAAUACUGGAUAGUGGGGGAUGGGCUCGCGGCCUAUCAGUUUGUUGGUGAGGUGGGGGUCACCAAGGCGUGACGGGUAGCCGGCCUGAGAGGGCGACCGGCCACACUGGGUCUGAGACACUGCCCAGACUCAUACGUGAGGAAGCAGUGGGGAAUAUUGCACAAUGGGCGAAAGCAUGAUGCAGGGACGACGCGUGGGGGAUGACGGUCUUCGGGUUGUAAACCUCUUUCAGCAAGGAAGCGGUACUUGCAGAAGAAGCGCCGGCUAAUUACGUGCCAGCAGCCGCGGUAAUU
rnacentral:rRNA from 1 species